AGCGAACGCUGGCGGCAGGCCUAAUACAUGCAAGUCGAACGGUCUCUUCGGAGGCAGUGGCGGACGGGUGAGUAACGCGUGGGAAUAUGCCCUUUGGUACGGAACAACUGAGGGAAACUUCAGCUAAUACCGUAUGUGCCCUUCGGGGGAAAGAUUUAUCGCCAUUGGAGUAGCCCGCGUUGGAUUAGGUAGUUGGUGGGGUAAAGGCCUACCAAGCCUACGAUCCAUAGCUGGUCUGAGAGGAUGAUCAGCCACACUGGGACUGAGACACGGCCCAGACUCCUACGGGAGGCAGCAGUAGGGAAUCUUGCACAAUGGGCGAAAGCCUGACGCAGCCAUGCCGCGUGAAUGAUGAAGGUCUUAGGAUUGUAAAAUUCUUUCACCGGGGAAGAUAAUGACGGUACCCGGAGAAGAAGCCCCGGCUAACUUCGUGCCAGCAGCCGCGGUAAU
rnacentral:rRNA from 1 species